CUAUGUGUUGUUGGGUAGGGGAGCGUUCUGUAAGCCUGUGAAGGUGUGCUGUGAGGCAUGCUGGAGGUAUCAGAAGUGCGAAUGCUGACAUAAGUAACGAUAAAGCGGGUGAAAAGCCCGCUCGCCGGAAGACCAAGGGUUCCUGUCCAACGUUAAUCGGGGCAGGGUGAGUCGACCCCUAAGGCGAGGCCGAAAGGCGUAGUCGAUGGGAAACAGGUUAAUAUUCCUGUACUUGGUGUUACUGCGAAGGGGGGACGGAGAAGGCUAUGUUGGCCGGGCGACGGUUGUCCCGGUUUAAGCGUGUAGGCUGGUUUUCCAGGCAAAUCCGGAAAAUCAAGGCUGAGGCGUGAUGACGAGGCACUACGGUGCUGAAGCAACAAAUGCCCUGCUUCCAGGAAAAGCCUCUAAGCAUCAGGUAACAUCAAAUCGUACCCCAAACCGACACAGGUGGUCAGGUAGAGAAUACCAAGGCGCUUGAGAGAACUCGGGUGAAGGAACUAGGCAAAAUGGUGCCGUAACUUCGGGAGAAGG
rnacentral:rRNA from 1 species